GCAGAGAGCUCAUUUAGCCGGACAGUCUCCCAAGUAUAUAAGGGGCAUGUGGCUCCUGCUUUCUGCAUCACUGUCCUGGAAGCACCGCCAAGCACCACAUCCUCCGACAUGAAGCUGAUCGUCGUCGCCUGCUUGGCCGCCAUGGCCUUGGCUGCUCCCAGACCCCAACACGACGCCUCCAUCGCGAAAGAGGAACGUGUCGACCAUGGCGACGGAAACUUCAGAUACAGCUUCCAACAGACAGACGGCAUCUACGUAGAAGCUGAGGGAAGCCCCAACGACGAGGGCGCCGUCAGCAUCCAGGGAUCUUACAGAUACACCCACCCUAGCGGACUUAUUGUCCACAUUACCUACGUGGCCGACGAAGCCGGUUUCAGGCCCCAAGGCCAAGGGGACGUCCUCCCCACCCCCCACCCACUCCCCGCCCACGCCAUCGAGCAGAUUAGAUUCGCCGAGCAGCAGAGAGCGGCAGGAGUGACUUUCGAAUAAAGGAUUUGAUCCUUCGUCGUUGGUGUCCUUCGGGAAUUGGGAUGCAUGAAGCGUUUUUCUUCGCCAUCCUGAAAGUCAAUCUCGUUAUAGGCCUAUUCUAUUCCAUUCUUUGGUCCCAUCUUUAUUUAGUCUCAUUGAAUCUAUUAAGUCCUUAGGACCCCUAAAUCAUUUCAUUGGGAUACUAUCUCUCUCUCUCUCUCUCUCUCUCUCUCUCUCUCUCUCUCUCCUCUUUUUCACAGACAAACAGAAACCGACCGACCGAACCUUGUUCCUCUCGCCAAUAUUCUCCGGACAAACUCACUUUUCACCAACGAUGAAUUCAUUUUUUUUUUUUUUUUUGUGUGAAUGUGUUGUACAUUAUUUUGUAUACGAAGCUGUUCUGAUGUUUAAAAAUGUAAAAAAAAAAAUAAAUCCCCAAAGAUCAGUUCUGCAGAUGAGAAGUAAAGGAAUUAUUUUGCAUAAA